UACGUAGGGUGCGAGCGUUGUCCGGAAUUAUUGGGCGUAAAGAGCUCGUAGGCGGUUUGUCGCGUCGACUGUGAAAACCUACAGCUUAACUGUGGGCUUGCAGUCGAUACGGGCAGACUUGAGUUCGGUAGGGGAGACUGGAAUUCCAGGUGUAGCGGUGAAAUGCGCAGAUAUCAGGAGGAACACCGGUGGCGAAGGCGGGUCUCUGGGCCGAUACUGACGCUGAGGAGCGAAAGCGUGGGGAGCGAACAGG
rnacentral:rRNA from 1 species